rnacentral:rRNA from 1 species
AGCAGCCGCGGUAAUUCCAGCUCCAAUAGCGUAUAUUAAAGUUGCUGCAGUUAAAAAGCUCGUAGUUGAGUUUCGGGACCAUCAUGUCGGUCGUGCCUCGGUACGUACUGGUAUUGUUGGUUUCUCCCUUCUGACGAACCAUGAUGUCAUUUAUUUGGUGUUGUGGGGAAUCAGGACUGUUACUUUGAAAAAAUUAGAGUGUUUAAAGCAGGCUCACGCUUGAAUACAUUAGCAUGGAAUAAUGAAAUAGGACGUUUGAUUCUAUUUUGUUGGUUUCUAGGAUCGACGUAAUGAUUAAUAGGGAUAGUUGGGGGCAUUAGUAUUCAAUUGUCAGAGGUGAAAUUCUUGGAUUUAUUGAAGACUAACUACUGCGAAAGCAUUUGCCAAGGAUGUUUUCAUUAAUCAAGAACGAAAGUUAGGGGAUCGAAGACGAUCAGAUACCGUCGUAGUCUUAACCAUAAACUAUGCCGACUAGGGAUCGGAUGAUGUUAAUUUUUUAAUGACUCAUUCGGCGCCUUAC